rnacentral:rRNA from 1 species
AUUGAACGCUGGCGGCAGGCCUAACACAUGCAAGUCGAGCGAGCCGCGGAGGGGUGAGUAAUGUAUGGGGAUCUGCCCGAUAGAGGGGGAUAACUACUGGAAAGGGUGGCUAAUACCGCAUAAUAUCGGAUGUACACAUAUGGGAUUAGCUAGUGGGUGGGGUAAUGGCUCCCCUAGGCGACGAUCUCUAGCUGGUCUGAGAGGAUGAUCAGCCACACUGGGACUGAGACACGGCCCAGACUCCUACGGGAGGCAGCAGUGGGGAAUAUUGCACAAUGGGCGCAAGCCUGAUGCAGCCAUGCCGCGUGUAUGAAGAAGGCCUUAGGGUUGUAAAGUACUUUCAGCGGGGAGGCGUUACCCGCAGAAGAAGCACCGGCUAACUCCGUGCCAGCAGCUGCGGUAAUAC